UACGUAGGGGGCAAGCGUUGUCCGGAAUUAUUGGGCGUAAAGAGCGCGCAGGCGGUCGACCAAGUCGCGUGUGAAAGCCCCCGGCUCAACUGGGGAGGGUCACGCGAUACUGAUCGACUCGAAGGCAGGAGAGGGUAGUGGAAUUCCCGGUGUAGUGGUGAAAUGCGUAGAUAUCGGGAGGAACACCAGUGGCGAAGGCGACUACCUGGCCUGUUCUUGACGCUGAGGCGCGAAAGCUAGGGGAGCAAACGGG
rnacentral:rRNA from 1 species